GAUUAUUCCUUCAUCUCAAGGAUAUCAAAACACAUCUCAAGAGCCACUCCCACCAAAUGUGUUUGAUCGACAAAGGCUGUUUACAACCAUAUUCAAUCCAACUCGUCUAGCCAAUGGAGAAGGCGCAACCCUUGGAACUCUAAUAUUUGACAUUGAGCUAGUUCGGAUAAACCAUCACUGAUAUCAACUUACGACGGCAUCAAAGUGGUAAUAUG
rnacentral:misc_RNA from 1 species